rnacentral:rRNA from 1 species
AGCAGUCGCCACGGUAAUACGAAGGGGGCUAGCGUUGUUCGGAAUCACUGGGCGUAAAGCGCACGUAGGCGGACUUUUAAGUCAGGGGUGAAAUCCCAAGGCUCAACCUGGGAACUGCCUUUGUGACUGCAAGGCUAGAGUACGGCAGAGGGGGAUGGAAUUCCGCGUGUAGCAGUGAAAUGCGUAGAUAUUGGGAAGAACACCGGUGGCGAAGGCGGCGACCUGGUCCAUAACUGACGCUGAGGCGCGAAAGCGUGGGGAGCAAACAGGAUUAGAUACCCCUGUAGUCCCUGUCUCUUAUAA